CGAGCGGGCCAGGCGAUCGCGCGCUUCGGCGUGAGGAAAGUCCGGGCUCCAAAGGGCAGGAUGCCAGCUAACGGCUGGGCGGGGCGACCCGACGGAUCAGUGCCACAGAAAAGAAAACUCCCCUGCUGCGCAGGAGAAAAGCUGAAACGGUGCGGUAAGAGCGCACCAGCGCGUCGGCAACGGCGCGGCUUGGCAAACCCCAUCUGGAGCAAGCGCAAAUAGGAACGCUGCAGGGCGGCCCGUCCUGCGUUCGGGUUGCGUGCUGGAGACCGUCGGCGACGGCGGUUCGAGAUAAAUGAUCGCCCUCGACAGAACCCGGCUUACAAGCCCGCUCGCCCC
rnacentral:RNase_P_RNA from 3 species